rnacentral:rRNA from 1 species
GAUGAACGCUAGCGGCAGGCUUAAUACAUGCAAGUCGAGGGGUAGCAAGAUUGUAGCAAUACAAUUGUUGACGACCGGCAAACGGGUGCGGAACACGUACACAACCUUCCUACAAGUGGGGAAUAGCCCAGAGAAAUUUGGAUUAAUACCCCGUAACAUAGCGAUGUGGCAUCACAUUGCUAUUAUAGCUUCGGCGCUUGUUGAUGGGUGUGCGGCUGAUUAGAUAGUUGGCGGGGUAACGGCCCACCAAGCCUACGAUCAGUAGCUGAUGUGAGAGCAUGAUCAGCCACACGGGCACUGAGACACGGGCCCGACGCCUACGGGAGGCAGCAGUAAGGAAUAUUGGACAAUGGACGCAAGUCUGAUCCAGCCAUGCCGCGUGAAGGAUUAAGGUCCUCUGGAUUGUAAACUUCUUUUAUAAGGGACGAAAAAAGGUCUUUCUAGAUCGUCUGACGGUACCUUAUGAAUACGCACCGGCUAACUCCGUGCCAGCCGCCGCGGUAAAAC